rnacentral:misc_RNA from 1 species
CAGUUGGUUAGAGCGCGCGCUUGAUAAGCGUGAGGUCGGAGGUUCAAGUCCUCCCAGGCCCACCACUUCCUUUCGACACGAAGGUUAUCAGGGGCCGUAGCUCAGCUGGGAGAGCGCCUGCUUUGCAAGCAGGAUGUCGUCGGUUCGAUCCCGUCCGGCUCCACCACUUGCGCAAUCCCGAAGGGAUUGUCGCGGUUCGCGACGAUCCUGCGGAUCGCGCGGAGGUGUCGAGCGGAGGUAGGAGAGAAAGUCAUUCGUAUAGAGAUUUGUGGUGAGCUUCUUGGCUUGCCGCUUGUUCUGUUUUGACAUUGUAAAGAGAAGAUUUGUUCGAACUUCAUGGAUCGCAAGGUUCAUGAUUUGUCGCGGGAGACGCUCAAUCUCCCGCAUAUGAUGGGUUUGCCUAACCGCGCCCUCGAACCGAUCUCGAGAAGCUGGUCUUUUUGUGCCAAUGACAUCGAAUUGGAUCCCGCACAGGAUCUGGUUCAGGUGCAAUCCUUUGGAUUGCGCGGACGCUGAACUCGCAAGGGUUUGGCUGAAGCGGCAAUCCCUUUGGGAUUGCGCGGGUGAGCAUUGGCAAUGAGAACGAUCAAGUGUCUUAAGGGCAAUUGGUGGAUGCCUUGGCAUGCACAGGCGAUGAAGGACGUGAUACGCUGCGAUAAGCUACGU